rnacentral:rRNA from 1 species
UACUAAGCGGAGGAAAAGAAACCAACGGGGAUGCCGAUAGUAACUGCGAGUGAAAUGGGAAGAGCCCAGCGCUGAAUCCGAGGGUCGGCAACGGCCCUUGGAGCUGUAGCGUGAAGGUGGUCCUAAUUCGUGCGGCUGGUUGGCGUAAGUUCUCCUGAGUGAGGCUCCAUGCCAUGGAGGGUGCAAGCCCCGUAUCGCCGGCAACUGGUCGAAUAUAAGGCUACCAGAGAGUCGCCUUGUUUGUGAGUACAAGGUGAAGUCGGUGUGAAACUCCAUCGAAGGCUAAAUAUGACCACGAGUCCGAUAGCGAACAAGUACCGUGAGGGAAAAUUGAAAAGAACUUUGAAGAGAGAGUGAAACAGUGCGUGAAACCGCUCAGAGGCAAGCAGAUGGGGCCUCGAAGGCAGAGCAGCGAAUUCAGCUGGUAGUCUGUGAGGCUGGCGGGAUGUGAGAUUGCAAAACUCUGCCCGUUGGCAUGCAGCGGCUGCUGAUGCACUUUCGCUGUUCGUACGCCUCCGCCGUUGACGCUUAGCAUCCGCCUGGCUUGCAUUGUGGGAGCCUAACUCUUUCGGGAGUUGGUGUCUCACGGCGAGUUUUGGCGCGUUUGUUCGUCAACCGGUCAAGUCAGCAUGUGCCAGCGUAAGCGUUGGGGUUUAGCGCUCUGUUGCGGUGUGGUGGAUGACGGUCGCAAGACCGGCUCUGCCCCUCCGUGAUUGACCCGCAAAGACUUUCAACGUGGGUGCAUUNNNNNNNNNNNNNNNNNNNNNNNNNNNNNNNNNNNNNNNNNNNNNNNNNNNNNNNNNNNNNNNNNNNNNNNNNNNNNNNNNNNNNNNNNNNNNNNNNNNNCCAAGGAGUUCAACAUGCGCGCUAGUUGUUGGGACUAAAAGCCCGCUAGCAAAGUGAAAGCAAGGCACAGUGCAAGCGUGUGUAUUGGCGAGAUCCUGUGUGGCGGCGUUAAAACCGCAGCAGGCGCAUCGCCGGCCCGUCAAAAGCUCACGUGGCUUUGCGGGAGCUUGAGCGUGCACGUUGAGACCCGAAAGAUGGUGAACUAUGCCUGGGCAGGAUGAAGCCAGGGGAAACUCUGGUGGAGGUCCGUAGCGAUUCUGACGUGCAAAUCGAUCGUCUGACCUGGGUAUAGGGGCGAAAGACUAAUCGAACCAUCUAGUAGCUGGUUCCCUCCGAAGUUUCCCUCAGGAUAGCUGGCACUCGGAGAACGUAGUCUCUCCCGGUAAAGCGAAUGAUUAGAGGUCUUGGGGUCGAAACGGCCUCAACCUAUUCUCAAACUUUAAAUGGGUGAGAAGUCUGGCUUGCUUAAAUGCAUUAGCUGAAGUCUGGACGUUGGAUACGAGCGCCUAGUGGGCCACUUUUGGUAAGCAGAACUGGCGCUGUGGGAUGAACCGAACGCUGAGUUAUGGCGCCCGACGAGACGCUCAUGAGAUCCCAGAAAAGGUGUUGGUUGCUAUAGACAGCAGGACGGUGGCCAUGGAAGUCGGAACCCGCUAAGGAGUGUGUAACAACUCACCUGCCGAAGCAACUAGCCCUGAAAAUGGAUGGCGCUAGAGCGUCUGGCCUAUACUCGGCCGUUGCAGCAGCAGCAACGAUAAGUCAAGCUGCGACGAGUAGGAGGGUCGCGGCGGUGGCGUCGAAGGCUUACGGGUGUGAACCUGGCUGGAGCCGCCGUCGGUGCAGAUCUUGGUGGUAGUAGCAAAUACUCAAGCGAGAACCUUGAGGACUGAAGUGGAGAAGGGUUCCAUGUGAACAGCAGUUGAACAUGGGUCAGUCGAUCCUAAGGUAUCGGCGAAAGCCGUUCAGAAGCGGUGUGGAUGUGCUUCACAGCACUUGUUACCUUGAUGAGCAAUCAACUUGGUGAUUUUACUGCACCUACCGAAAGGGAAUCGGGUUAAUAUUCCCGAACCCGGCAUCGGAUAUUGGUCUGCUUUCGGGUAGACACAUGCGGUAACGCAAAUGAACUCGGAGACGCUGACACGUGCCCUAGAAAGAGUUGUCUUUUCUUCAUAAGGCACAGGCUCCCUGGAAUCGGAUCAUCCGGCGAUAGGGAGAUGGUGUCCGUAGAGCACCGCGGUUCUUGCGGUGUCUGGUGCGCACGUGUCGGUCCUUGAAAAUCCGAGGGAGAGUGUGAUUUUCGUGCCGGAUCGUACCCAUAUCCGCAGCAGUCUCC